AGCCAUGGAGCAGAGGAGAAUCUGAUGACAGAUGCAACCAUAAACCUCCCUCACGCCUUGUUGAAAAGAAGAAAGUCUUCAUGAUACUGUUGGAAUGUCAGACAAAAUUUCUGCUCAAGGAGCCUCUAAAUAAAUGGACAGAACACUAUGAACACUUUGUAGAAGUCCCUCUAUGAAGAAGAAGAGGGUCGUGAGCAAAAGCACAUAUGUAUCAGUACAGUGUCUUCACAUCUGUGAUGGUAGCCAAAAUAGCUUAUGCAGUUGAUUUAUUUAAAGGGUAUUGGUAAACAUGCAAUUCAUGGAGAGAACAAAAAAAAUUUGGUAAUUAGAGUGAAAAUUAUUCUUUUCUAAUACGUACGUGAAACUCUUUAUAUAGCUAUAAACUAUAUGGCAUGUGAUAUACAUACGAAUGGGUUAUGUAGUACAGUAUGUGUAUUAUAUUAA